GGCCCGCCUAUGUCCAGUCUCCUGCAGCACCGCUAGCCUAGGUCACUCCUCCUUGUCCCUUUGGAGGCUCCCGCAAACCUGGUUCCGCCCACUACUCACCGAAGGAUCAUUGCCUAUGGACCUCCCAUGCUUGACCUUUUAGAACCUGGCAGAAGUCUUUUCUCCCUGUACAUGUCUAAUGCAGAUGAGCUAAUGUGCUUAGGCCAUCUUGCAAAAGCAAUAUUAGUUGCUAUGCUGAUAUUCCAUGAUGUAGGACAGCCAUAUCCAUCUGCAGCUUAAGACCAACCAUUCAACCAAGAGCAUAUACAACCAACAUGAUAGCAGGUAUAUCUAACCUGUACUGAGAAUGGCUAUGAAUGCAGCACAACAUAAAAGUGCAAGCUUAGUUAAAACAUUAUGAACUAUCAUUGUGAUUUUAAAAACCCAAUUGAAUGGCUUAUGAGCAUAAAUUUUGAAAAUGACUGUGUUGCAAUAAAAAGGACUAGACACA